GCUGGCCUGUCAUGCUCAUUUUCAUGGCUAGAUAGUGCUUUGUCAAGUGAGAGCAGGAGAAGAUGUGGAUGGUUUUGGCUUUGAUAUGGAUGGCUAUUUAUAAUGGCCAUGGUCACAAGGUUUGAGGGACAGAGAGAGCAGGUAAUAUACGAAAAUACAAACACAAUCUGAGUUGAGCAAACCCAGUAUUGUUCCAAGUCACCGUAAAUCUGCAAAGGACCUUUGAAGCUACCCUUUCAUCAAUCCAGCUGGUAAUUCUCCUGGGUGAUUAUACUAGAGAUCAAGAUAACUUGUGGCCUCAUUUUCAUCCAGCAAAAAGGUCUGUGGCAUGUGUAGCUUCAACUACUCAGGCAUAGCCCACUGACCUGAUAGGAUAGCAGCCAACUAAAUCUCAAGUCAAAAAGGUGCAUUCCUGUGUUCAGCUCAGAUGGUUCAGGCUAACAAAUCCCUCCUGCUCCAUCUCCAUGCAAGAGUUGAGCAGGUUUAACUAACAAAUGAUUGUUUAUUUGUUGGUUUGUUCCACUCCCAUGCUGUUUGAAAAUCUGUUGCCUAUCCCCUUGACAUUUUGAUUUGCCACAUAUAAUGAUACAAGGAGGAGAAAAUAGCUUUUGGAGGUA